UGGUCGCCGGCCUGGCGAUCACCCCGUUCGCGCUGGGUUCGGCGGUCACCUCCGCCCUCGGUGGCCGGAUCGUCAACCGGCGCGGCCGGCCA
rnacentral:tRNA from 1 species